GACGAACGCUGGCGGCGUGCUUAACACAUGCAAGUCGAACGGAAAGGCCCUGCUUUUGUGGGGUGCUCGAGUGGCGAACGGGUGAGUAACACGUGAGUAACCUGCCCUUGACUUUGGGAUAACUUCAGGAAACUGGGGCUAAUACCGGAUAGGAGCUCCUGCUGCAUGGUGGGGGUUGGAAAGUUUCGGCGGUUGGGGAUGGACUCGCGGCUUAUCAGCUUGUUGGUGGGGUAGUGGCUUACCAAGGCUUUGACGGGUAGCCGGCCUGAGAGGGUGACCGGCCACAUUGGGACUGCGAUACGGCCCAGACUCCUACGGGAGGCAGCAGUGGGGAAUAUUUCACAAUGGGCGGAAGCCUGAUGCAGCAACGCCGCGUGCGGGAUGACGGCCUUCUGGUUGUAAACCGCUUUCGCCUGUGACGAAGCGUGAGUGACGGUAAUGGGUAAAGAAGCACCGGCUAACUACGUG
rnacentral:rRNA from 1 species